GCCGUGACGCGGGCAUGAGCCUGGCCCUCCGCCCGCUGAGCCAGCGCCCCCGGCAGGGGCCGCGGCGCCCAGUGGGGAAAUUGAGGCACUGAGAUGUUAAGCGGCUUGCCCAGGACCUCUUGCCUGAUAUGCAUGUUCCUGGUUAUGCAUGCUUGAAUGCAUGUUCCUGGCUGGACCACAUCCCGAGCUGCCUUGGAUGAACCGGGGGCCCCGUGCAUGCUGGUCAGUGUGUUCUGAAAGAGGCCUCCCUUGCAUGGCCCCUCAGCCAGUGGCCGGCUGGCCAUCAUCUCAGAGGGGACUUUUACAGAGCCAGUCCUUGCUGGGGGUGGUCAAGGAAGCCCCAGAUGGUGGAGACAGAGCUGGGAAAGCUUGUUCAUCUCUGAGUGCCAGCACCUGGGUCUAGCAAGGCUGUUGGAGAGGUCAGUACCAGGGAGAGACCCCACAGCCGACCUUACAGGAGGAAAACAGAUCACUUGGGUGUGGCAGGGUCUUGGCCCCCAGGGAGCUGGGAGAGAGGGCGUGGAUGGGCAUGGAGGCUGCUGAGGGGUGCUGAAGGGGCUCUCGGGGUACACGGGGCAUAGAGAGCACUACCCUCUGUGUCCCUUCGCCUAUUUGCAUGUGCACACUGGGGUAGUCACAUCUGUUCCUUGUUAGGCACUCGACAGACAGGCCUCCAGAAGAUUAA
ensembl:lncRNA